GAUGAACGCUGGCGGUAUGCUUAACACAUGCAAGUCGAACGGUCACUUCGGUGAUAGUGGCGGACGGGUGAGUAACGCGUGAGAAUCUGUCUUCAGGUCGGGGACAACAGUUAGAAAUGACUGCUAAUACCGGAUGUGCCGUAAGGUGAAAGAUUUAUUGCCUGAAAAAGAGCUCGCGUCAGAUUAGCUAGUAGGUGGUGUAAGAGACUACCUAGGCGACGAUCUGUAGCUGGUCUGAGAGGACGAUCAGCCACACUGGAACUGAGACACGGUCCAGACUCCUACGGGAGGCAGCAGUGGGGAAUUUUCCGCAAUGGGCGAAAGCCUGACGGAGCAAUACCGCGUGAGGGACGAAGGCUUUUUGGGUCGUAAAACCCUCUUUUAUUAGGGAAGAUUUCAGGACGGUACCUAAUGAAUAAGCAUCGGCUAACUCUGUGCCAGCAGCCGCGGUAAU
rnacentral:rRNA from 1 species